rnacentral:rRNA from 1 species
UGGGUUAAGUCCCGCAACGAGCGCAACCCCUGUCCCUAGUUGCCAUCGGUCCGGCCGGGCACUCUAGGGAGACUGCCGGCGACGAGCCGGAGGAAGGCGGGGAUGACGUCAAGUCAUCAUGCCCCUUAUGCCCUGGGCUACACACAUGCUACAAUGGCCGGGACAAUGGGUCGCCACCCCGCGAGGGGGAGCUAAUCCACAAACCCGGUCUCAGUUCGGAUCGCAGGCUGCAACUCGCCUGCGUGAAGCCGGAAUCGCUAGUAACCGCCGGUCAGCCACACGGCGGUGAAUACGUUCCCGGGCCUUGUACACACCGCCCGUCACACCAUGGGAGCUGGUUCCACCCGAAGCCGCCGGCCUAACCCGCAAGGGAGGGAGGCGUCGAAGGUGGGGUCGGUGACUGGGGUGAAGUCGUAAACCCUUGUGUUGCGACCUCCACU